rnacentral:rRNA from 1 species
UACGGAGGAUCCGAGCGUUAUCCGGAUUUAUUGGGUUUAAAGGGAGCGUAGGUGGAUUGUUAAGUCAGUUGUGAAAGUUUGCGGCUCAACCGUAAAAUUGCAGUUGAAACUGGCAGUCUUGAGUACAGUAGAGGUGGGCGGAAUUCGUGGUGUAGCGGUGAAAUGCUUAGAUAUCACGAAGAACUCCGAUUGCGAAGGCAGCUUACCAGACUGAGUCUGACGCUGAUGCACGAGAGCAUGGGUAUCGAACAGG